rnacentral:rRNA from 1 species
UACGAAGGGGGGCUAGCGUUGCUCGGAAUCACUGGGCGUAAAGGGUGCGUAGGCGGGUCUUUAAGUCAGGGGUGAAAUCCUGGAGCUCAACUCCAGAACUGCCUUUGAUACUGAAGAUCUUGAGUUCGGGAGAGGUGAGUGGAACUGCGAGUGUAGAGGUGAAAUUCGUAGAUAUUCGCAAGAACACCAGUGGCGAAGGCGGCUCACUGGCCCGAUACUGACGCUGAUGCACGAAAGCGUGGGGAGCAACAGG